rnacentral:lncRNA from 1 species
GAGUUAAUUAGUAAUCAAAUCACUAAUUAAACCUCUCAUAAAUACUGAGUCCAAAUUCGAUGGGCAAUCGGGCAUUAGAAUUCAUCGAAAUGUAACCCUGAUCGAAAAGUCCCAACCAGUGGGACUCUUGACCUCGAUACCCAUAAUGUGUGGAACUCGUGAUCAGAGAAUCCUGAUUCUCGAUCAUCGAGUCCCAAACAUGUAGGAUUCUACAUCAGCCAUCAGAUCGAUAGGAACCUCUAAUGUGUGUGACCCCGCAGGUUCGAACCUAAGUCGGUAGCAUAAGAACCAAUUCCUGUACUAAUCGAAGUGACCAUCUAGCAAUAGUACCCGACAUCCAGAU